rnacentral:rRNA from 5 species
AAAUUGAAGAGUUUGAUCAUGGCUCAGAUUGAACGCUGGCGGCAGGCCUAACACAUGCAAGUCGAACGGUAACAGGAAGCAGCUUGCUGCUUCGCUGACGAGUGGCGGACGGGUG